rnacentral:lncRNA from 1 species
AUAACAUUUCAAUCUCAUUUUCAAGUGAGCAAUAGCAACCACUUUUCCUUUUUAUUUGCCUACUGAUAUCCUUGGGGGCCUAUAAGGAUGUCCAACUACAUGUGAACCAAUAUUCAACAUUGUCAACUAACUGGCCGUUCCCACAUCCCGUCCGGUAUAAGUGCUAAAAAUACCAUUUCUCAAUACCCCGUCUAGUAUGAGGGUGAAUCGGGCCAUCCCCAUACCCCGUUUGAUAUGAACGC